rnacentral:sRNA from 1 species
CGAAAUGCGAUAAGUAAUGUGAAUUGCAGAAUUCAGUGAAUCAUCGAAUCUUUGAACGCACCUUGCGCUCCUUGGUAUUCCGAGGAGCAUGCCUGUUUGAGUGUCAUUAAAUUCUCAACCUUCCAGCUUUUUAUAAGCUUGGUUAGGCUUGGAUGUGGGGGUUGUGGGCUUCAUUAAUGAGGUCAGCUCUCCUUAAAUGCAUUAGCGGAACUUUUGUGGACCGUCUAUUGGUGUGAUAAUUAUCUACGCCGUGGAUGUGAAGCAGAUUUAUGAAGUUCAGCUUCUAACCGUCCAUUGACUUGGACAUUUUUGACAAUUUGACCUCAAAUCAGGUAGGACUACCCGCUGAACUUAA